GACGAACGCUGGCGGCGUGCCUAAUACAUGCAAGUAGGACGCAGUUGCGAACGGGUGAGUAACGCGUAGGUAACUACCUAUUAGAGGGGGAUAACUAUUGGAAACGAUAGCUAAUACCGCAUACUAGUAGAUUGACCUGCGUUGUAUUAGCUAGUGGGUAGGGUAAUGGCCUACCUAGGCAACGAUACAUAGCCGACCUUGAGAGGUGUACGGCCAAAAGGGGACGGGGCAACGGCCCAGACUUCUACGGGAGGCAGCAGGAGGGAAUCUUCGGCAAUGGGGGGAAACCUGACCGAGCAACGCCGCGUGAGUGAAGAAGGUUUUCGGAUCGUAAAGCUCUGGUGUUAAGGAAGCGGUACUUAACCAGAAAGGGACGGCUAACUACGUGCCAGCCGCCGCGGUAAUAC
rnacentral:rRNA from 1 species